rnacentral:rRNA from 1 species
UACGUAGACCUCAAGCGUUAUCCGAAUUUAUUGGGCGUAAAGCGCAUGUAGGAGGUUUGUGCGUCUGCGGUUAAAGCCCACUGCUCAACGGUGGAAGUGCCGCGGAUACGACAAGACUAGAGGAGGUUAGAGGUGCAUAGAACGCACGGUGUAGGGGUGAAAUCCGUUGAUAUCGUGCGAAUACCAAAGGCGAAGGCAGUGCACUGGGACCUUCCUGACUCUGAGAUGCGAAAGCGUGGGGAGCAAAAAGG